GAGCGAGUCAUCUGUGACAGG
rnacentral:miRNA from 1 species